rnacentral:rRNA from 1 species
GUGGGGAAUAUUGGACAAUGGGCGCAAGCCUGAUCCAGCCAUGCCGCGUGAGUGAUGAAGGCCUUAGGGUUGUAAAGCUCUUUCGUCAGGGAAGAUAAUGACGGUACCUGAAGAAGAAGCCCCGGCUAACUUCGUGCCAGCAGCCGCGGUAAUACGAAGGGGGCUAGCGUUGCUCGGAAUCACUGGGCGUAAAGCGCACGUAGGCGGCUUUCUAAGUCAGGGGUGAAAUCCUGGAGCUCAACUCCAGAACUGCCUUUGAUACUGGAGAGCUUGAGUUCGGGAGAGGUGAGUGGAACUGCGAGUGUAGAGGUGAAAUUCGUAGAUAUUCGCAAGAACACCAGUGGCGAAGGCGGCUCACUGGCCCGUUACUGACGCUGAGGCGCGAAAGCGUGGGGAGCAAACAGGAUUAGAAACCCCAGUAGUCC